rnacentral:rRNA from 1 species
AAUGCAGUUGAGCGCUGAAGGUUGGUACUUGUACCAACUGGAUGAGCAGCGAACGGGUGAGUAACGCGUGGGGAAUCUGCCUUUGAGCGGGGGACAACAUUUGGAAACGAAUGCUAAUACCGCAUAAAAACUUUAAACACAAGUUUUAAGUUUGAAAGAUGCAAUUGCAUCACUCAAAGAUGAUCCCGCGUUGUAUUAGCUAGUUGGUGAGGUAAAGGCUCACCAAGGCGAUGAUACAUAGCCGACCUGAGAGGGUGAUCGGCCACAUUGGGACUGAGACACGGCCCAAACUCCUACGGGAGGCAGCAGUAGGGAAUCUUCGGCAAUGGACGAAAGUCUGACCGAGCAACGCCGCGUGAGUGAAGAAGGUUUUCGGAUCGUAAAACUCUGUUGGUAGAGAAGAACGUUGGUGAGAGUGGAAAGCUCAUCAAGUGACGGUAACUACCCAGAAAGGGACGGCUAACUACGUGCCAGCAGCCGCGGUAAUACGUAGGUCCCGAGCGUUGUCCGGAUUUAUUGGGCGUAAAGCGAGCGCAGGUGGUUUAUUAAGUCUGGUGUAAAAGGCAGUGGCUCAACCAUUGUAUGCAUUGGAAACUGGUAGACUUGAGUGCAGGAGAGGAGAGUGGAAUUCCAUGUGUAGCGGUGAAAUGCGUAGAUAUAUGGAGGAACACCGGUGGCGAAAGCGGCUCUCUGGCCUGUAACUGACACUGAGGCUCGAAAGCGUGGGGGAGCAAACAGGAUUAGAUACCCUGGUAGUCCACGCCGUAAACGAUGAGUGCUAGAUGUAGGGAGCUAUUUGUUCUCUGUAUCGCAGCUAACGCAAUAAGCACUCCGCCUGGGGAGUACGACCGCAAGGUUGAAACUCAAAGGAAUUGACGGGGGCCCGCACAAGCGGUGGAGCAUGUGGUUUAAUUCGAAGCAACGCGAAGAACCUUACCAGGUCUUGACAUACUCGUGCUAUUCCUAGAGAUAGGAAGUUCCUUCGGGA